UACGUAGGGUGCAAGCGUUGAUCGGAAUUACUGGGCGUAAAGCGUGCGCAGGCGGUUUUGUAAGUCUGUCGUGAAAUCCCCGGGCUCAACCUGGGAAUUGCAUCUGUGACUGCAUAGCUAGAGUACGGUAGAGGGGGAUGGAAUUCCGCGUGUAGCAGUGAAAUGCGUAGAUAUGCGGAGGAACACCGAUGGCGAAGGCAAUCCCCUGGACCUGUACUGACGCUCAUGCACGAAAGCGUGGGGAGCAAACAGG
rnacentral:rRNA from 1 species